rnacentral:rRNA from 1 species
AGCGAACGCUGGCGGCAGGCCUAACACAUGCAAGUCGAACGAAGUCUUCGGACUUAGUGGCGGACGGGUGAGUAACACGUGGGAACGUGCCUUUAGGUUCGGAAUAACUCAGGGAAACUUGUGCUAAUACCGAAUGUGCCCUUCGGGGGAAAGAUUUAUCGCCUUUAGAGCGGCCCGCGUCUGAUUAGCUAGUUGGUGAGGGAAAGGCUCACCAAGGCUACGAUCAGUAGCUGGUCUGAGAGGAUGACCAGCCACAUUGGGACUGAGACACGGCCCAAACUCCUACGGGAGGCAGCAGUGGGGAAUCUUGCGCAAUGGGCGAAAGCCUGACGCAGCCAUGCCGCGUGGAUGAUGAAGGUCUUAGGAUUGUAAAAUCCUCUCACCGGUGAAGAUAAUGACUGUAGCCGGAGAAGAAGCCCCGGCUAACUUCGUGCCAGCAGCCGCAGUAACAC